AUUCAAAAGCAGGUUAGGGACAGUUCAGGGACAGAGGACAAUCAAGGGGGAGCUCAGAGUGAUGGUCCCUCAUCUUCAGAGGAAUCAGGCAGCCUCACCCCCUCUGUGCAGCCUCCAGCCAGCCUUUUGCAAACUUGGUCAGGGACUGCUUUUCAAACACCCCCAAUAUUACAGCAGCUCUUGUCCUUGCCCUUGUGGACCCCCACUAGGUUACUUAACUCCAUGAGGGAGAAUGUUUCUGAGACACCUCUGAUAUUACAAUCCUCAUUGAGAAUUUAUCUGGUUCUACUGGUUGCUGGGGAACAUGAGAUGGUUUUACCCAUACCCUGUUUGCAACUUCAGAUUUGUUUAACUGGCAGUGCACUAUGCCUCACUUAUGAGACAAUCCUGAGGCAGUGGAAAAAAUGUUCUGCACAAUCUUUUUCACUCAUGUGCCCACUUGGGCAAAUGUAAAUCAGUUAUUAGAUACUCUCAUGACAGAAGAUGAAAGACAAAAAGUAAAAGAAAAAUCUGCAGCUCAUUUGAAUGCACCUUGGCUAAUUACUGACCCUAACUGGAAUCCCAAUAAUCCAGCUCAAAAGACAAAGUUGGAUGGAUUUUUAAAAGCUGUUUUGAAUGGUAUUAGAGAUGCAGGGGAGGCUACUCCAAAUUGGAGCAAGGUGACUGCUUGUGUUCAGCAUCCAGAUAAGCACCUCUCUGACUUUUGUGCUCGACUGAUUUGUGAAGUUAAAAAGCAUGGGAAUUUAAAUCCUGAAACUGAUCAUGGAAAGGAGAUGGUUAAAAUGGUUUUCAUGUCACAAUGUGCAAAGGAUAUUGCAAAGAGAUUUAGAGAGCAUCCAGAUGGUACGCAAGGGAAAAGUUUGUCUAAAGUAGUUAGCAUUGCUACUAGAAUGUUUAAUGGGAAAGAGAAAAAGAAAGAAAAAGACAUAAGGAACGGGUUAAUUUAAAAAUCAUCUUGGCCCCGGGAUGGAAGGAGGGGAUUGCUCUGCGUUCAGGGUCAGGAAUCGGCGCGGACUGUGCUUGGUGCAGGGAGGGGCUGCUUUCAGCCCCAGCUGGCUGUGAAGGAAAAAAUAUAGACAGAGGCGAAGCAAAGGAAAUACAAGUUACAGAACUGAAAUUACAUUUGCAAAGCUUAACUGUCCAGUAAGAUCCAACAGAGUGCCUUUGUGACCCUGGAGUCGGUGUGGCUUGGUGACACCAAAGAAGCCACAGGCAGCCGACCUGGACUGGAACCUCUGAAAGAGAUGCCGCAGGAGAUUCCAGGGUGUAAAAGAACAGCCCUCCCAAGAGCAGAAGCAUGUUGGAAAUUCUGGACAAGCUGUAUACAGGAUAAUCUCCCUUCCACCUCUCCCCCUCCUCUGAACAUUAUACACAGAAGUGGCCAGUCUGAACAUAAUCAGAGAAAACUGAUGCCAGCUAAACAGCAUUCAACGUACCAUGCAUUUACUAGCACAAUAGAAAUUAUGUUUUGUGUUCUAUGUUCUGUCUUGUGGUGUUUGUCUUGUGGCUGGAAUUUUUGUGUUUAAUAUUUUUAUAAAAUAGUCUAGUUUAAAAUCAAAUAUAAAGGUUAAAUUAAAAUGCACGUACUUGUUUUGUUCAACUUGGAAUACAAAGUGUUUAGAUAAAUCAGGAAAAUGUGAUAUAUUAAAGUCUAAUGCAUUUCCUUAAGUAAGGAAAAGAAACUUUAUUGGUCAAAUUGUUAAUUGCAAAAAUUGUUGCUAAAAUUUGCAUACUAACAGUCUUUGAAAGCAAAGACAUGAAAAGUUAACCCACUCCCCAUAUUGUACAUGGGAUCUUUCUGGCUACCUCAGAUUUCUAGCCAGAGGGCUGGGGAUGGUGGAAGGCUAUUGGACUAGAGGUUGUAUUGAGUGAACUCCUCAAAGUGGGUGUGCUUGUCCUGGCUUGUUGCUCGAAAGCUCUGUAAUAAGGUUAUUUUAGUAAAAGGUUAUGUGUGGCAUAUAUUGAAUAAUAAGACUAAUGUACUGUAUAAUGACAAUGUGUAGGUGUUCAUUGUUGGGAAAAAGGUGUAUAAGUAAAAAGUGAAAGUUUCCUUUGCAGGUUAAAAGAAGCCAGGAAGGAAAGAAGGACAAAGAACAGAAUGAAUUAACUGAAAAAAAUAAAAUAAAAUAAAAUAGCAAGCUCAGGCUAUAGAUAAGACACUGACUCCAUUCAAGGACACUGCUCACAGUUAAGACUUGGUUAACAACCAGGAAAAGGAGAGCUUGAAUUUGCCCAUGCAGCUAUGAGAUCUGAAAAACACUGCCAGGCACUAAUGAAAUGUGUUAAGUUUCUUUUCUCACAGGUAAGGAAUCGCUACCCAAAGACCCUAGCAGCCCUGCCACUCCUUACAACCAGGAGACAGGAUUGAUAUAAAGGUCCACCAACGAAAGACUGCCUUGGCUCCAUGCUGGAAAGGCUCUUAAGUCCUGAUGACUACCAACACCGCUGUGAAGUGCCAAAGACUGACUGCUUGGACCCAAGAUUCUCAGUGCAAAAAGACCCCUCCACAUUGGGAGAAUUCUCCUACUGAUGAUUAGCCUAUUUCACCUUCUAGCUCCACUGUGCCUUCUGGACAGCAGGGAAAAAGUACAAGGUGAAGUGCUAGCAACCUCUCCCUUAUCCACUGACAGAUCUACUGUGCCUUUGAAUUUUUCUAGAAAAAGCAAAACCAUUACAGGGUGAUGUGCUAGUAACCUCUCCCCUAUAUGAUGCUGCACCAAGACUGUUUUGGGAAAGAAGAAGGAACACUCACUCCACUGAAAUUGCUAAAGUCCAGGAAUUCCUGACUAGAAAGGGCAUUAAGAACUGACCCCGGUGAAGAAACAAAGAAUUGUACACUGGCAGAAAAAAUUUGUGGGACCCAUGCUUGGGAAUGUGGUAUUGAUUGGAUUUUGGGGUUUAUUCUACAGGCUGUGCCCUGUGUUCUGGAUAAAUUCUUCAGCAUGUAUUGCUCUCUCUAAUUGGAUUUUAAAUAACAAGUACCCGAAGAGUUUGUUCUGCCACUGGAAAUUUUACCUGUACUGAAACCAUUCCAAUGACUAAUAAUGUAACCCCCUCCUAUGCUAUUAAUGUCAAUGCCUUUUAAAAGUACCUAAAAAUAGUUAAAUAACAAAUGUAAUAUAGUACUACACCAAAGAAAGAUGGUAUUAAAUAUCACUGAGGCUGGGAAGGCAUUGCAGUGGGAUCUAGUAUGUUUGGAGAUUCAGAAUUUCCUGAAUGACCAGCUGAUGGCCAUUCGGAGUGAUCUUGAGUACCAGACUUGGCCCACUUCCCUUACAGACACAUCAGGAGUACCAUCUGAUCUGUGGUCAUGGAGAUAUACUAAAGACUUUCUGGGUGGAAGUGUAAACAUUUACAGUGCUCCUUCCAAGCAUUUGGACCGGGGGGUGUGGGCUUCCACAUACCGAAUCCUGACGGGUCCAUGGGGAGGAUGCACAUGAAACUGGAUUAUUCACCGAAACAUCUGGGAAAUUAGACCACUUGGUAUACCUAACUGAUUUAUGCUCAGUGCCCCAAUCCCUUAGUUGUCAGACAAACAGGAUUCCACUUUUUUGUCCGUGCACUCAUUCCUGGAUUGUGGGUGGCUAAGCUCAAGAGAGCAGUUGUAAAUAUUUCUGCAAAGCUUGAAAAAAACAGCUAAUGCAUUAAUAGACGCUUUCCAAAAGUUGCAACGAAAGACUGAUGAAGUAGCAGAAGUAACUUUGCAAAAUAGACGUGUGCUAAAUGCCAUGAAUACUGAAUUAGGGAGGGGCUUGUUAUCGCAUUGGGGAAAAAUGUUGCUUUGCUGUUAAUCACUCUGGCUUAAUUGACAAAGAUUUACAAGCUAUUAAGAAUGUUGCUGUUGUUUUCCAUGCUAUAUCUCUUGAUCACACUUUAAGUUUUAAGGACCUCCACUCAGACCUUGGGUCAUGGUUUACUAGCCUCCCCCGUACAAUUGUUAAAUGGAUAUGUGUCCCAAGAGUCCCAUUAUGGUCCUCUAGGGACAAAGGGGGGAUUGUUAGGCCUGAAUAAAGAUAUAGCAGACAAAACCAGGUAUGCCAACCUGACCAAAGUCAGGCUAACAGAGGUUUGUGGGUAAUCCCUGAGUGGAAAACACUGAGAAGCAGCAGCAUGUCUCACAAGCGCUGGGAAAAAGUGAGAUAAGAGAGAAGCUGCAUUCCUGGCAUAGUACCAGAUGUGCUGUGUUCGGGCAGCUCCUUCGAAGAACUGAUAAGAGUCCUCGUUUCCCAGCCUCCUUGUUUUCGCUCCCUGGUUUUGUUCUUUGUUUGUUUUGAACUCCCCUACAUUUCUAACUUUAGGCACGCAUGUAUACUAAAGGUGUCUAAUUUCUAGUUGUUAGAAGAAGGGGGUGGGUUGCUCCAGUGAAUAAUUUAUGACGCGACGGAACUGUCUAUAUAGGCUUAUACUAAAAUGUAAAGAGCAGGCUGGUUCUCUCUGGAGACGAGCUGCUCUCUAUUGAUGCGUGCACUUGUCAAUAAAGAGCUUUUGAUCGGA